GUAGGUACAGAUGGUACUGCCUCCCUGUCUCUCCCUGUAAAUGAUGUAGGUACAGAUAGUACUGCCUCCCUGUCUCUCCCUGUCUAUGAUGUAGGUACAGAUAGUACUGCCUCCCUGUCUCUCCCUGUCUAUGAUUUAGGUA